ensembl:snRNA U6 U6 spliceosomal RNA
GUGAACAAUUUUAGCACAUGUACUAAAAUCGGAAUUUACCUAGAUAAGAUUAGCAUGGCCCCUGAAUAAGAAUAACAUGCAAAUUUGGCAAGUAUUCCUUAUUCUU